CUUAGCAACCAUAGCGCAGCAGAACCACCUGAUCCCAUGCCGAACUCAGAAGUGAAAUGUUGUAGCGCCGAUGGUAGUGUGGGGUCUCCCCAUGUGAGAGUAGGACAUUGCUAAGU
rfam:Vibrio angustum S14 1099604003226 genomic scaffold, whole genome shotgun sequence.